UACGAAGGGGGCUAGCGUUGUUCGGAUUUACUGGGCGUAAAGCGCACGUAGGCGGAUCGUUAAGUCGGGGGUGAAAUCCUGGAGCUCAACUCCAGAACUGCCUUCGAUACUGACGAUCUUGAGUCCGGAAGAGGUGAGUGGAACUCCUAGUGUAGAGGUGGAAUUCGUAGAUAUUCGCAAGAACACCAGUGGCGAAGGCGGCUCACUGGCCCGGUACUGACGCUGAGGUGCGAAAGCGUGGGGAGCAAACAGG
rnacentral:rRNA from 1 species